rnacentral:tRNA from 1 species
GCUGGGUUGGCCGAGUGGUUAAGGCGCAGGGUUGCUAACCCUGUGGGCUUCGGCCCGCGCAGGUUCGAAUGAACCUUUUACUCAAAAGCUUCAAUGGAAAAACAGUAGCUUACGCGUACAAGGUUCCGGGUGUCCUGCACCCAGCG